AACACCAAGCAGGAUAAAUACCAAAACAACACAGCCCCUCACCAAACCCAUGCAUCUAGGCAUAUCAUAUUAAAACUGCUGAAAACCAAAGAGAAAGAAAAUCUGGAAGUCAGCCAAGGGGGAAAAAACAUAAUAUCUUACCGAGGAGCGAGGAUAAGAAUUACAGCAGACUGCUAGUCAGAAACAAUAAAAGCAAAAUGAAAUGGAGUAAUAUCUUUUUUUUUUUU
rnacentral:lncRNA from 10 species